rnacentral:lncRNA from 1 species
AUAAUCACAGAUUGUGUUUCACUCCCUGUGAGGAUAAACUUGCUUUGUUUUCCCCUCUGUGCCUUUAUGAGGCUGCCCAACAGCCCCAGGGCCUCAUCCUUCUAGUCCUGGAUUGUCACUGUGGUGUCUUUGCUGAAAUGUCCCCACCACCUGUGGUAUGACCAGUGGGGAAGGGUAGAUUGGCAGCAGUGGUUGGUAGACUCGGGUUCCUUUUGGGACCCACCAGCAAGCCAGUGGUGUGACUGGGAAGCCACCACCCUGGGGAGCUGGGAGCUCACUGGGCUCAGGAGGAGGCCCAGUUGGCAAGGCACAGCCCCCAGGGCCAUGUGACACUACCUGCAGCCCUGUCUCCUGCUCUCUGGAGGGUGUGCCCUUGGAGCAGAUGAGGAUCUGGCUGAAGUGGACACAGAGCAGUGACUCCAUUUAGUGAAUGCUCCCAACCUGCAAGCCCUCUCCUAAGCACCUUGCUUUGGCCCUUCAAGACCUGACACCUAAGAGCCAGGUGUGGUGGCGCAUACCUGUAGUCCCACCACUUAGGCUGAGGCAGAGGAAUCGCCAAGAGUUUGAGGCCAGCCUGUACUACAUAGUGAGUUCAAGGCCAGCCUAGAAUGUACAGUGAGACUCUGUCUCAAAAAACCAGAAAAAGACCUGAAACCAGAACGUGUUAUGGACGCAUCCGCAGCAUAGUUCAUGCACACCCGGGUGCAAUGUCAGGUUCCCCAAACCUGCAGAGGCUCCUAGGCUGAGAGCCCCACAGGAAGUGCUCAUCAGUGCUCAGUGGGGGACAUGUGGGGCGAGACAGCCCUGUCCUGUCUGGACAGCUUCACCUCACCCAGAGGGUGCCAGAGACCUGCGCAGUCUGAGAACUGGGCGCAAGUUGAAUAAGCAACAUCCCCUGCACCAAGGAAUGGACACAGCAGCUCCGAAAGGACAGCAGGGUAUGAACAGAUCCAGCACCCCCAGAUGGCUGGUGAGUGGGAGAAAGGAUGUUGGAGGGCAGCACCCAUGCCAUGUAUGUAAAAUAAAAC